rnacentral:rRNA from 1 species
CAAAUGACCUCAAAUCAGGUAC